CUCUUAAUGUACUAAUUUUAAGUAAAAUCUGCUCAAUGAUUUUAAAUAGCCGCAGAAUUUCUGUGCUAAGGUAGCAUAAUCAUUUGCCUUUUAAUUAAAGGCUAGAAUGAACGAUUUAACAUUUUAAUUACUAUCCUAAUUGUUAAAGUAAAAAUUAUAUCAAGUAUAAAAAUAUACUUAUAACAAAAAUAGACGACAAGACCCUAUUGAACUUUACUUUAGUUUAGCUGGGGAAGCUAAAUAAUAAAUAUUUUAUUUACAAAGCCUAUAAAAAUGACCCAACAUAGUUGAUUAAAUGAACAAGUUACCAUAGGGAUAACAGUAUAAUUUUCUCUAUUACUCUUAUUAAAGAAAAAGAUUAUAACCUCGAUGUUGAAUUAUUACCCUUGUUGACGCAAGAGUUGACUAAGGAGGUCUGUUCGACCUUUAAAUUUUUACA
rnacentral:rRNA from 1 species